rnacentral:rRNA from 1 species
UACAGAGGGUGCGAGCGUUAAUCGGAAUUACUGGGCGUAAAGCGUGCGUAGACGGCUAUCUAAGUCUGAUGUGAAAGCCCUGGGCUCAACCUGGGAAUUGCAUUGGAUACUGGCAGGCUAGAGUGCGGUAGAGGAUGGCGGAAUUCCCGGUGUAGCAGUGAAAUGCGUAGAGAUCGGGAGGAACAUCUGUGGCGAAGGCGGCCAUCUGGACCAGCACUGACACUGAGGCACGAAAGCGUGGGGAGCAAACAGG